rnacentral:misc_RNA from 1 species
CACGUAGGGGGCAAGCGUUGUCCGGAAUGAUUGGGCGUAAAGGGCGCGCAGGCGGCCUCUUAAGUCUGAUGUGAAAGCCCACGGCUCAACCGUGGAGGGACAUUGGAAACGGGGGGGCUUGAGUGCAGGAGAGGGGAGUGGAAUUCCACGUGUAGCCGUGAAAUGCGUAGAGAUGUGGAGGAACACCAGUGGCGAAGGCGGCUCUCUGGCCUGUGACUGACGCUGAGGCGCGAAAGCGUGGGGAGCAAACAGG